GAAGGGCGCGGAGUUGCCCCGGAGGGUCGUGACCCAGGGGGAUUCAGGGCGCGCGCAAGGGGAGUUUCCACCGAAACAAACCCGAAUCAUAUAUGUAUAAUUGAGCAAACUUAGGAGACUCAUCUUUAGCAGGUAUCAAGGAACCAAUACGAUGAUAUACUAAACCAUUAAUCUUGAACACAUAAGGGCCAAUGCCGUCAUUAAUUCCAUUGUUGAU
rnacentral:lncRNA from 1 species